rnacentral:tRNA from 1 species
AGAUAACCGCCGGAUGAACGGGCAUCAUUGAUGUUGAUGAUCAUAGAUUUAUUAAAAUCUGUUAUUUU